AUUGAACGCUGGCGGCAGGCCUAACACAUGCAAGUCGAACGAGUGGCGGACGGGUGAGUAAUGUCUGGGAAACUGCCUGCUGGAGGGGGAUAACUACUGGAAACGGUAGCUAAUACCGCAUACCAUCGGAUGUUCCCCGAUGGGAUUAGCUAGUAGGUGGGGUAACGGCUCACCUAGGCGACGAUCCCUAGCUGGUCUGAGAGGAUGACCAGCCACAUUGGAACUGAGACACGGUCAGAACUCCUACGGGCGGCAGCUGUGGGGAACAUUGCACAAGGGGGGCAAGCCUGAUGCAACCAGGCCGCGUGUAUGAAGAAGGCCUUGGCGUUGUAAAGUACUUUCAGCGGGGAGGCGUUACCCGCAGAAGAAGCACCGGCUAACUACGUGCCAGCCGCCGCGGUAAUAC
rnacentral:rRNA from 1 species